AUACAAUGUAAAACAAAUUGAAGCAAGUGCGACUUCAUCUGCAGUCGGGCUCUGAUCGCCAACCUCGCAUUCUUUUCUAGUUUUGAGUUCUCUGCUCGCACAUCUCACUGGCGCCAUCUUCACGCUUCUGAUCGUCGUUGCCCUCUCAGCCCCGAUUUGCAGUCUUUGGUAACCGAUUCGUCCAGCGGCAUAUCCUGAUGAUCAGCUCCUUCAGUCUUUCAGAGGCACGAACAGUUCCUGCAACUGCGAAACUCUCCAUCAAGUCGCCACUCAUCACGAUUAGCUUCUCUUUCAAUUCACCAAUGGCUAGAACAAGAGCUGAGACUCCACUUUCACAUAAUGUUUUCAAGUAUUGGUAUGACUUGCUCGCAACACUAACAAAACAGAUGCUCCAGAUGAAGAGAACGAGCCAACCAAAAGGUGGAAAGAGGAUGAGCAGCUCUAAAGUGAAAGCCAGAGUUCCCAACAUGAUGAUAAUCCUAUUCAUGAAUUUACGAAAGUCUACUGUACUGUGAUCAUUUUGGAGUAUCAUGACACCUAUUGACCCAAAGUAAGCCGAUACGUCGAUAACAAACAACCUCAUCAAUAGUGUGUCUGGAGAUGAAUUUGCAAAUUUCAAUUGGAGGCAAAAGCCAAGGAUGGUGAUGAGAGAAACAAUACAUUUGUUCAAUCCCACCAUAGAUUUGCUCCUAGGUGCACCCUGCUCCAUUCUGUUAUACCAUAAGAAAAUUGAUCGAGUUAAAAAUUAUUUAUCAAAUUAGUGAAAAAUAUCGACUAUCGCUACGAAUGAGUUGCAGCUAGCUAGGAAGGUUUAUCCAUUGCCUUUGUUCCUCCUAGCUACAUGGAAUUUCCCUAUAUAUAUUCUUCAAUAUCUGAAAGAGAUACUUGAGUUUUAAUGA